GAUCAAGUGAUGAGCAAUUAACUGAUCUAACGUCAUGAUUGGAGCUAUUCUCCUAUGAUUACUAAGUUUUAAGUCUCUUGUUAUC
rnacentral:snoRNA from 1 species